CGAGCACGCGCGUGUGGCAUAUCAAUAAGCGGAGGAAAAGAAACUAACAAGGAUUCCCUUAGUAACGGCGAGUGAAGCGGGAAGAGCUCAAAUUUGAAAUCUUCAAGGUUCUACCUUGACGAAUUGUAGUUUAUAGAAGUGUUUUCUGUUAGUGGAGUGGCAAAAGUUCUUUGGAAUAGGACAUCAUAGAGGGUGAGAAUCCCGUAUUUGGUCAUUCCUCCUAGCGUUGUGAUACACUUUCAACGAGUCGGAUUGUUUGGGAAUGCAGUCCAAAAUGGGUGGUAAAUUUCAUCUAAAGCUAAAUAUUGGCGAGAGACCGAUAGCGAACAAGUACCGUGAGGGAAAGAUGAAAAGAACUUUGAAAAGAGAGUUAAACAGUACGUGAAAUUGUCAAAAGGGAAGCGUUUGACACCAGUGUUGUUUUUCCGAAAAUCAAUUACGAAUGUUUUGUUUUUGAGGAGUUAUGACUUCAUCGGCUUGCUCCUUUCUUUAUGAAACUUUCUUAAUGCACUUUUCGGUUAACAAGUCAACAUCAAUUUCUUUUGUUGUAAAAGGGUAUGAGGAAGGUGGCUUUCUUUUCGGAGAAAGUGUUUAUAGCCUUGUACCUCUGCAAUCGGAGAGAUUGAGGUCUGCAGCGUAGAUCCUUCGGGGUUAGAUACAUUUGUGCUAAGUUAUAGCUUUUCAUAGACAACUUGUUGACUAUGUUUAGUCUUGUAGCUUACUCGCUGACGCUAUUUUACCUACGCUUAGGAUGUUGAACUCUAUCACACACAG
rnacentral:rRNA from 1 species